GUGGGGAAUCUUGCGCAAUGGGCGAAAGCCUGACGCAGCCAUGCCGCGUGGAUGAUGAAGGUCUUAGGAUUGUAAAAUCCUUUCACCGGUGAAGAUAAUGACUGUAGCCGGAGAAGAAGCCCCGGCUAACUUCGUGCCAGCAGCCGCGGUAAUACGAAGGGGGCUAGCGUUGCUCGGAAUUACUGGGCGUAAAGGGAGCGUAGGCGGACAUUUAAGUCAGGGGUGAAAUCCCGAGGCUCAACCUCGGAACUGCCUUUGAUACUGGGUGUCUUGAGUGUGAGAGAGGUGAGUGGAACUCCGAGUGUAGAGGUGAAAUUCGUAGAUAUUCGGAAGAACACCAGUGGCGAAGGCGACUCACUGGCUCAUUACUGACGCUGAGGCUCGAAAGCGUGGGGAGCAAACAGGAUUAGAUACCCUAGUAGUCC
rnacentral:rRNA from 1 species